UACCAGCACCCCGAGUGGUCGGGACGUUUAUUGGGCCUAAAGCAUCCGUAGCCGGUUCUACAAGUCUUCCGUUAAAUCCACCUGCUUAACAGAUGGCUGCGGAAGAUACUAUAGAGCUAGGAGGCGGGAGAGGCAAGCGGUACUCGAUGGGUAGGGGUAAAAUCCGUUGAUCCAUUGAAGACCACCAGUGGCGAAGGCGGCUUGCCAGAACGCGCUCGACGGUGAGGGAUGAAAGCUGGGG
rnacentral:rRNA from 1 species